rnacentral:rRNA from 2 species
UGGAGGUAUUUUAGUCUUUUCAGAUCGAACCUGCCCUAUAAUUGAUAGUCCACGAUUUAUUGUACUUAUAUUAAAAGUUUAUAUAUCGUCGUAGUGGAAUACCUUAGGAGAGUCAGAGUAUUCAUUAUUUAUAAUUAUAAAUUAAAUCAGAUCAAGAUAUAGCUUAUAUACAAGAAGAGGUGGGUUACAAUAAAAAUAUUUAUGGAUAUAGUAAUUAAAGUUAAUAUUAAAAUUGGAUUUGAAAGUAAUAUAUUUUAAUUAAAAUUUAUGAUUAAAGCUCUAAAAUAUGUACAUAUCGCCCGUCGCUUCCAAUGAAAUAUUAAAUUGGAAUAAGUCGUAACAUAGUAGGUGUACCGGAAGGUGUACCUAGGUAUUUUCAAGUUAAAGCUUAAUUUAAGUUUUUUAUUUACAUUAAAAAGAUAAUUGUGAAAUUCAAUUUAAUUUGAAUUUAAAAAUUUAUUUAUUAUUAUUGUUAUUAUUAUUAUUAUUAUUUAAAAAAAAUAUUUUUUUAUUUAUUUAUAAAUUUAGAUAAAAUUAUUAUUAAUUAUAGCUUAUUAGUAUAGUGAUAGAAUAUUGAAAAAUUUGAAAAUUUAAAAUAUUUUAAAGAAAAAUUAAUUUUUUGUACCUUGGGUAUCAGGGUUUAUUAAAUAAGUUUUAUAAAUUUAAUUUUCUCGAAUUUAAAAGAGUUAAGAAAUUAUUUAUUUUAUUGUAAAAUAAAUAUUUAAAAUAAUUUUUUGGUAAUGAAACGUUAUUCGUUUUUAAAUAUAUCUAGUUUUUUAAGAAAUAAAUUUAAUUUAGUAAAUUAUUUAAAUUAAAAUAAUUUUUUAUUUUAAAUUAAUAUAAUUUGUUAAUAUUUUAGGGGAUAAGCUUUAAAAUAAAUUUUUAUAAAUUAAUAGAAUUUUAAGUAUAAAUUAAUAGGAUUAGAAUUUUUUAUUUUUAGUAGGAUGUUAUAAUAAAUUUAUAUAUAUAUUAAAUUUUUAUAUAAUUUUAAAUUAUUUAUUAAAAUUAUUUAAUUAAUGAUGAAUUAUAUGAAUUAAUGAUAAAAUUAGUAUAAUAAUAGUUUUAAAAAUUAGUUUAUUUUUAAGGUUAAAUUAAGGAAUUCGGCAAAUUAUUUUUCUGCCUGUUUAUUAAAAACAUGUCUUUUUGAUUAUAAUUUAAAGUCUAACCUGCUCAAUGAAUAUUUAAAUAGCCGCGGUAUUUUGACCGUGCAAAGGUAGCAUAAUCAUUAGUUUUUUAAUUGAGAGCUGGAAUGAAUGGUUGGACAAGAAAAAUACUGUCUCAGUUUAAUUUAAAUUAGAAUUUUAUUUUUAAGUUAAAAAGCUUAAAUAAAUUUAAAAGACGAGAAGACCCUAUAGAGUUUUAUAGUAAAUAUAAUUUAUAUAAAAUUUUAAGUAUUUAUAAUUUAGUUAAAUUAUUUU